UACGUAGGUGGCAAGCGUUGUCCGGAUUUAUUGGGUUUAAAGGGUGCGUAGGCGGUUUUCUAAGUCAGCAGUGAAAUACGGCAGCUCAACUGUCGAGGUGCUGUUGAUACUGGGGAACUUGAGUACUGAUGAGGUAGGCGGAAUGGACGGUGUAGCGGUGAAAUGCUUAGAGAUCGUCCAGAACACCGAUAGCGAAGGCAGCUUACUAAGGAGUAACUGACGCUGGGGCACGAAAGUGUGGGGAUCAAACAGG
rnacentral:rRNA from 1 species